GUCCAGCCCUCUCUGAGGCCUCAUCAGAAUCCCCGGGGAUUUGUUCACUCUCCUCCACUUGUUCUUGUAACAGAUGCUUAUUGAGCACCCUACAACCAGGAAACUGGACUUUACAACAGGGUGGUGAGGGCUAUGACCCAGUCGGGGUGCCAGGAGGAGGGGCAGGUGUGGAGAAGCAUAGAAUGGGCAGGAUCAACCCAACCUGGAAGGGUCAUGGUGGCCUGUGUGGGGCUGAUCUAGCCUUGCCCCAGGCCAGGAACAGAAUGAAGUCCACUCUGGUGGGCAGAGAACAGGUGAAACGGGGGGAGGCAGUGAGAGAUGGGAGGUUCCUCCAUGCCAGGUGGUGCCUAGGCAGUUGGGUGCACCUGUGCACAGAUCUUCACCACACAUAGAGAGCCAUAAAUUCCAGUUUAAUACACAAGGAGUGCACACUGUGAAAGUUGUCAGAUUCAAAAUGGAGUCACUUGUGUCAACCUCUGACAAAUAGUGCCAGGGAAGCAGCGGGGGUUCUCACGUACCAUUUGCCUGAUAAUGAGAGCUCUCACAAGAAAUUUUCCCAAACUGGAGCUCACUAAGGAGUCACACGAGGGCAGCCAGCAGCACCAGGGCAGCCAGCAGCACCAGGACAGCCCCCUGCUCACACAAGAACACUCGCCUGGCACAUUGUCACACAAGCCCCAUACAAAAUGACAAGGACCUAACCCUAGCUCCAAGAUUGCAAGUCACACCCAGCAACCGCUCACAUUUGCCCGUUGGCACGCACCAGCUCUUGCAAGUCACUGCCAGCCCCAGUGAACUUUCUUUCAAAACGACAUGGGGCAACUCCUCUUUCCCCUAUCAACUCUAACUUUUCCUUUGUUCUCUGUACCCACCAGAGGUCACCCUGGUCUGUAUGGAUGUCCCAGAUUGUAAUCCUACUUCUUGUAUAUUAUUCCAAAUUAAACCUUCUUAUUUAGAGAUUCAGCUCUCUUUUUUUUUAUGUUGACAUAACCUGUUGUCAGAAGUGGGGUUUGAAGCUGACUCACCUUGGAGAGAUCAACGCCCCUGGAAGGAUUGCAUGGGGUGCCCACUCUGGGGCUCCUUGAGUGUCCCUGCCCCUGGCUUCCAGGGGUUGCUUCCUCCCCCGGUACCAUGACUCUUUCUUGAGUUGAGCUCUCAUUUUUGUUUCAGUUGAGUUCUUUGGUUUUAUUUGGGUUUUGUUUGUGAGGGGUCUUUUCCCCUCCUGCUGCUGAGGUCUCCUAUUAAGAGGGGUGAUAUGGUUUGGCUGUGUCCCCACCCAAAUCUCAUCUUGAAUUCCCACGUGUUGUGGGAGGGACCUGGUGAGAGGCAAUUGAAUCAUGGGAACAAGUCUUUCCCAUGCUGUUCUGUUGAUAGUGAAUAAGUCUCAUGAGAUCUGAUGGUUUUAAAAAGAGGAGUUCCCCUGCACAAACUCUCUUUCUUUCUUUUUUUUUGCCUUCUGCCAUGUAUGUAGAUGCGAUUUGCUCCUCCUUCCCUUCUGCCAUGAUUGUGAGGCCUCCCCAGCCAUGUGGAACUGUGAGUCCAAUUAAACCUCUUUCGUUUGUAAAUCGCCCAGUCUAAGGUAUGUCUUUUUCAGCAGCAUAAAAAUGGACUGAUACAAGGGCCUUUUCUUCUCCUGAUUUAUGAGGGACUUUCCCUCCUGUUAAAGAAGGCUUUGUCGUCCUUCCCAGUGAGCACAUACCUUAUUCUUUGGUUUCAUUUUGCACGCCUGAUAUUUUGCUUUUAUGUGCUUGGCCUUAGUGCUGACUUGCCUCGAUACAUUGGUUUAAAGUAUGGGCUCUUAAAGUUCAAAGGCAGGCUAAGAUAGUUCCCUUCUUCUGGGACUCUAGCUGGUGACACGUUCAAACAUUAUGGAGGUCAUUCAAACGGUUUGUUUUUCUUAGAACUAUACGAAAAGACUCUGACUUAAAAUCAGAUAGUCCAGAUAGGAUGGGCAUCUCAGUGGGUAACUCAAAGCUUCAAGCUGCACCCAGGACUCAAGGACUGCCUUCCUGCAAAACACUGUCUCAAAGCCAGCUGGGCUGUCUCCCCUUGGGAGCCUUGCCCACCUUCCCACGCCUCCUCCUCAAGCUAAAAUCUAUUUUCCAAAACUCCUCAGCUAUUCUGGCAUACUGACUAUAUAAGUAACAACACUUGAAAAACAGCAGGUACAAAAAAGAAUCAUUUGACCUUCAUGCUGUUUCUUAAAAGCAAAAGAUGCAAUUCCCAUGUAAAAGACAAACUCCCUGAACUAGAAGGAAAAACAACACUCUUAUCUUCAAGGACCAGGAAUUAAAGCGAAGGAAAUACCGCACAGACCUUGUUAGAUUCCUGGAUACGUGUGCAGGCUGUGCAGAUUUGUUACAUAGGUAAACAUGUGCCAUGGUGGUUUGCUGCAUCUAUCAACCUGUCACCUAGGUAUUAAGCCCAGCAUGCAUUAGCUAUUUAUCCUGAUGCUCUCCCUCCCGCCGUACCUCCUCCACCCUUCAGGCCCCAGUGUGUGUUGUUCCCCUCCCUGUGUCCAUGUGUUCUAUAGCUGGGUCAUUUCUAAAUAAAAUACUGAAACAUGAAUUGUUAAACAGAGAUUCAAGUUUACUUACUUUUGGUUUCCUAAAUUGUAUAAAAAGACAAAAGACAUUUGGGUCUAUUAGUAAAUAAAUGUGUCUUCC
rnacentral:lncRNA from 10 species